AGUCUCGUGGAUCGUCGCAGUCCCAUUUCUUAAGUAUUAGAAUUUUCACUUGUGGAAUUUUCUAAAUUUCUAGCCAUUAUAUUUUUCUUAUACAUUUUAUCAAAGAACCUUUGCAAAUAAAAAAUUCUAAUAAUAAGAACGUAUGAAAAAUAUUCUAAUGGACUAGAAAAUAGAGAAAAGCCUUUUUAUGCGAGAGUCUUCUAGGGUUUAGGGUUUAGAGUCUUCUA
rnacentral:lncRNA from 1 species